rnacentral:rRNA from 1 species
GUGUCAGCAGCCGCGGUAAUACGUAGGUGGCAAGCGUUGUCCGGAUUUACUGGGCGUAAAGAGCGCGCAGGCGGUCUUGUAAGUCGAAUGUGAAAGCCCCUGGCUCAACCAGGGAGGGUCAUUCGAUACUGCUUGACUCGAAGGCAGGAGAGGGAAGUGGAAUUCCGGGUGUAGUGGUGAAAUGCGUAGAUAUCCGGAGGAACACCAGUGGCGAAGGCGACUUUCUGGCCUGUUCUUGACGCUGAGGCGCGAAAGCUAGGGGAGCAAACGGGAUUAGAAACCCUCGUAGUCC